GAGGAGCCUGCGGCGGAUUAGCUAGUUGGCAGGGUAAUGGCCUACCAAGGCAACGAUCCGUAGCCGGCCUGAGAGGGCGCACGGCCACACUGGAACUGAAACACGGUCCAGACUCCUACGGGAGGCAGCAGUGGGGAAUUUUGCGCAAUGGGGGAAACCCUGACGCAGCAACGCCGCGUGGAGGAUGAAGUCCCUUGGGACGUAAACUCCUUUCGACCGGGACGAUUAUGACGGUACCGGUGGAAGAAGCCCCGGCUAACUUCGUGCCAGCAGCCGCGGUAAUACGAGGGGGGCAAGCGUUGUUCGGAAUUAUUGGGCGUAAAGGGCGCGUAGGCGGUGCGGUAAGUCACCUGUGAAAACUCUGGGCUCAACUCAGAGCCUGCAGGCGAAACUGCCGUGCUUGAGUGUGGGAGAGGUGCGUGGAAUUCCCAGUGUAGCGGUGAAAUGCGUAGAUAUUGGGAGGAACACCAGUGGCGAAGGCGGCUCACUGGACCGGUACUGACGCUGAUGCGCGAAAGCGUGGGGAGCAAACGGGAUUAGAUACCCUGGUAGUCCACGCCGUAAACGAUGAUGACUAGCUGU
rnacentral:rRNA from 1 species